rnacentral:rRNA from 1 species
AUUGAACGCUGGCGGCAUGCCUAACACAUGCAAGUCGAACGGCAGCACAGAGGAGCUUGCUCCUUGGGUGGCGAGUGGCGGACGGGUGAGUAAUGCAUCGGGAUCUACCCUGACGUGGGGGAUAACCUCGGGAAACCGGGACUAAUACCGCAUACGUCCUACGGGAGAAAGCGGGGGACCUUCGGGCCUCGCGCGGCAGGACGAACCGAUGUGCGAUUAGCUAGUUGGCGGGGUAAUGGCCCACCAAGGCGACGAUCGCUAGCUGGUCUGAGAGGAUGAUCAGCCACACUGGGACUGAGACACGGCCCAGACUCCUACGGGAGGCAGCAGUGGGGAAUAUUGGACAAUGGGCGAAAGCCUGAUCCAGCAAUGCCGCGUGUGUGAAGAAGGCCCUCGGGUUGUAAAGCACUUUUAUCAGGAACGAAAUACCACGGGUUAAUAACCUAUGGGGCUGACGGUACCUGAGGAAUAAGCACCGGCUAACUUCGUGCCAGCAGCCGCGGUAAUACGAAGGGUGCAAGCGUUAAUCGGAAUUACUGGGCGUAAAGGGUGCGUAGGCGGUUGUUUAAGUCUGUCGUGAAAUCCCCGGGCUCAACCUGGGAAUGGCGAUGGAUACUGGGCAGCUAGAGUGUGUCAGAGGAUGGUGGAAUUCCCGGUGUAGCGGUGAAAUGCGUAGAGAUCGGGAGGAACAUCAGUGGCGAAGGCGGCCAUCUGGGACAACACUGACGCUGAAGCACGAAAGCGUGGGGAGCAAACAGGAUUAGAUACCCUGGUAGUCCACGCCCUAAACGAUGCGAACUGGAUGUUGGUCUCAACUCGGAGAUCAGUGUCGAAGCUAACGCGUUAAGUUCGCCGCCUGGGGAGUACGGUCGCAAGACUGAAACUCAAAGGAAUUGACGGGGGCCCGCACAAGCGGUGGAGUAUGUGGUUUAAUUCGAUGCAACGCGAAGAACCUUACCUGGCCUUGACAUGUCCGGAAUCCAGCAGAGAUGCAGGAGUGCCUUCGGGAAUCGGAACACAGGUGCUGCAUGGCUGUCGUCA